UAUUUACUCCCUCUAUCCAGAAUUACUUGUCAGAGAAAUGGAUGUAUCUAGACGUACUUUAGUUGUAGAUACAUUCAUUUUUAUCCAUUUCAACGACAAGUAACUCCGGACGGAGGGGGUAGUAC
rfam:Triticum aestivum genome assembly, contig: Triticum_aestivum_CS42_TGACv1_scaffold_288793_4AL